rnacentral:rRNA from 1 species
UACGGAGGGGGCGAGCGUUAUUCGGAAUUAUUGGGCGUAAAGGGCGCGUAGGCGGCUGUACAAGUCAAAGGUGAAAUCCCUCGGCUCAACUGAGGAACUGCCUUUGAAACUGUACGGCUUGAGGCCGGGAGGGGGUAGCGGAAUUCCCAGUGUAGCGGUGAAAUGCGUAGAUACUGGGAGGAACACCAGUGGCGAAGGCGGCUACCUGGACCGGUUCUGACGCUGAGGCGCGAAAGCGUGGGGAGCGAACAGG